UCCGAGUUGACCCCGGCAGUCUCCUAUGAGUCCCCGCCAUUACGCGCUGGCAACAUAGAACGAGGGUUGCGCUUGUUGCGGGACUUAACCCAACAUCUCACGACACGAGCUGACGACAACCAUGCACCACCUGUAUACCGCCCUUGCGGACCCCAUAUCUCUAUGAGUUUUCGGUAUAUGUCAAGCCUUGGUAAGGUUCCUCGCGUAUCAUCGAAUUAAACCACAUGCUCCACCGCUUGUGCGGGCCCCCGUCAAUUCCUUUGAGUUUCAGUCUUGCGACCGUACUCCCCAGGCGGCGAACUUAACGCGUUAGCUUCGAUACUGAGUGCCAAAUUGCACCCAACAUCCAGUUCGCAUCGUUUAGGGCGUGGACUAC
rnacentral:misc_RNA from 1 species